rnacentral:rRNA from 1 species
CUACGGAGGGUGCGAGCGUUAAUCGGAAUUACUGGGCGUAAAGCGUACGUAGGCGGUUUGCUAAGUCAGAUGUGAAAGCCCCGGGCUUAACCUGGGAACUGCAUUUGAUACUGGCAGACUAGAGUAUGAUAGAGGGGGGUAGAAUUCCUGGUGUAGCGGUGAAAUGCGUAGAUAUCAGGAGGAAUACCAGUGGCGAAGGCGGCCCCCUGGAUCAAUACUGACGCUGAGGUACGAAAGCGUGGGGAGCGAACAGGAUUAGAAACCCCAGUAGUCC